GACGAACGCUGGCGGCGUGCCUAAUACAUGCAAGUCGAACGGUCUUUUCUAUGGAAGCUUGCUUCCGCUGAGAAGGUAGUGGCGAACGGGUGAGUAACACGUGGGUAACCUGCCCAUAAGAGGGGGAUAACAUCCGGAAACGGGUGCUAAUACCGCAUAGUCUUCUUGAUCGCAUGAUUGAGAAAGGAAAGACGGCCUUUGUGCUGUCGCUUAUGGAUGGACCCGCGGGGUAUUAGUUAGUUGGUGAGGUAACGGCUCACCAAGACGAUGAUACGUAGCCGACCUGGGAGGGUGAUCGGCCACAUUGGGACUGAGACACGGCCCAAACUCCUACGGGAGGCAGCAGUAGGGAAUCUUCCGCAAUGGACGAAAGUCUGACGGAGCAACGCCGCGUGAGUGAAGAAGGUUUUCGGAUCGUAAAACUCUGUUGUCAGAGAAGAACAAGUCGGAGAGUAACUGCUCCGGCCUUGACGGUAUCUGACCAGAAAGCCACGGCUAACUACGUGCCAGCAGCCGCCGUAACAC
rnacentral:rRNA from 1 species